GUUUCCGGGGUUACUUGGUGGUUGCUAGUGGCAACCGGAAGAUUGCAAGGGUGUUCUGGGUGGUUUCAAGGUUGAAGUACCUACCUUGGGACAGGUAUUAAAUCGAUGCUUAGACUGAGCCUCAUCAUCCCCUGGGGGGGGGGGGGGUGGGGGGUGUUCUUGGUUUAAAAAGUCAAUGUAUAGAGGGUUGAUAGUAAGGUAGUAAGUACAGUUUGUAUUAUUGUUAAAUUAUGAAGUAGGAAGGAGAACUCAAUGAACCAAUAGCCUUUUUUUUUUUAACAAAUUGAAAGAUAUUAAUAUUUUCAUUGUAUGUAGUUUAAAAAAAUAUUU